rnacentral:ncRNA from 1 species
GUAAAGACCGUGAAGAGGAGCAGUAGAUAUUCUGAAGCAUCAGAGAGUUGUUGGUAGGUGCAAAACAACAGUGAAGGGAUAUUGAACUAGCCUUGGAGUCACAUGUUGAAGUAACAGUAGGCAUUGUCGGGUUCGACCGUUAUAUCGAUAAAGAUAUGUUGGUAUCUUAAUGAGCGCAUUCCUUUGGAAUGAAUCAGAGUGGUAACGCGGAAGUCACCUUUCGUCUCUAUA